UGCCUCUUGUGACAUCAUUGGGAGCAGGAGAGCAUGCAGAGUCCAUUCCCCAGCAGUAGAGUAACUGGAUGAGCACUGUCCAGGUGGGGCACACAGCAGAAGUGCAUUCCUGACAGAUCUCAGCGUGAUUCUGGGAGCAUGGAGUAGCAGUGACUCAGGUCCAGUGGAGGGCUGUCCUGCAUCCUGCAGUAUCCCGGCAGGUGACAAUGAAAACCUAUGAAAAGAAGGCUUCUUUUCUACAGCUAUGUCCUCUAUAUUUACAAAGAUCCUGGUGCAUACUAUUGGAUGCUAAAUGUAAUGCAGUGCAUAAAUAGAUAAAUGCAAAAAUUUACAUUUGUUGUUAAAGAGCCAAACCAUGGAAAAUAUAACAUUCUGGAAUUUAAUGUAAAUUUCAUUCUUGCUGCAAAAUUUUGAAGUUGGAGAGCAUAUUCCAAUGAAUGUGAGCAUCAAAUACUCAGAAGACUGAUAUGACAUGUAUUGCAACAUUUGAAGUGUCAAAUUAUCUUUGGCUUCCCUGCAUAUACCAUCUUUAUAGCUAUUUUGGAGUGACAGAGAUCAACAGGAAAAAAAUUGAGGACAUUUAUAUUUCCCUUCUCUGCAUUUUGCAAAGCUACAGGAGCAUGAAUCCUCAUAGUUAAAGUGAUUUAAUUCAAAGUGUAUUUGAACUCUAUUUGUCUCAUAUAUUCAGGAAUCUUGUGUUCUGUCUGCUAAGGGCACUGCCUCCUCUCCUCAUAGCACAUGUAAAGAUCUAAUUAUUAUUAUGUCUACGCAAUCCAACUUUGACUUUGACAACUAUACCAUGAG
ensembl:lincRNA